GGCUCAGAAUUACAGACUGCAAAUCUGCGUUUGGGUAGGAUUACCCCUGGGCUU
rnacentral:tRNA from 1 species